UUCGUCUCCAACCUCGUGAACUUUCUCCAAUACUUUUCUGUCUCCUGCACAAAGCAGAAGCUGCAGGUAAUCCCUUUUGGCUGAAGAGACAAACAAUACAUACUUGGUUCAACCAGCAGCAUGACUAUUCCUGCUCCUGCAGCUUCUGUUCCCACAUUGAAGAGUCCAGUCCUCAUUGCCGGGGCAACUGGUUUUAUCGGUCAUUUUGUAGCAGAUGCCUGCCUAGACUCCGGUCGACCUACUUAUGUUCUUGUCCGGUCGACUCCUAUCAGCCCAUCUGCGGCUAAAGUUCUUAGGUCUCUUGAGGAGAAAGGAGCCAUAGUCUUGCAUGGGUUGAUUAAUGACAAGGAAAAGAUGGAGGAAAUACUUAAAGAGCAUAAGAUUGAUGCGGUAAUAUCAGCAGUUGGUGGUGACGGCAUAUCGGACCAGCUUGGCCUAGUCCAGGCUAUUAAAGCUGUGGGCACCAUUAAGAGAUUUUUGCCUUCAGAAUUUGGGCAUGACGUGGAUAGGGCUGAUCCAGUGGAACCAGGUCUUCAAAUGUACAAUGAGAAGCGCAAGAUUAGACGCUCGAUCGAGGAGUACGGUAUACCAUACACGUACAUUUGUUGCAAUUCUAUUGCUUCCUGGCCCUACUUCGACAAUACUCACCCUUUGGAGGUUCUUCCUCCGCUGGAUAAGUUCCAAAUCUACGGUGAUGGCAAUAUGAAAGCAUACUUUGUUGCUGGUACCGACAUUGGAAAAUUUACAAUGAAAACUGUUGAUGAUGUUCGAACCCUCAACAAGUCAGUUCAUUUUCGACCAUCCUGCAAUUUUUACAACAUGAACGAACUUGCAGCUUUGUGGGAAAAGAAAAUUGGAAGGACACUCCCUCGAGCUACAGUUACAGAAGAAGAUUUACUUGCUGCAGCUGCAGAGAAUCGUAUACCAGAAAGUAUUGUUGCAUCAUUCACCCAUGAUAUUUUCAUCAAGGGUUGCCAAAUAAAUUCUUCAGUUGAUGGUCCUAAUGACGUCGAAGUGAGCUCUCUGUAUCCUGAUGAAGCAUUUCGUACAUUGGAUGAAUGCUUUGGUGACUUUGUUCUUGGAUUAAAUGAGAAGCAUGUCAGCAGCAGGGAUGAAAAUGCUCCUCCAAAUCCCAUGGUUGAACCAUUGAUAGUAACAGCAACCUGUGCCUAGACUUUUAAUUUUACAGUAAAUUGCUGAGUCUAGUUCUUGGGAGUUUGGUAUAAGAGGGCAGCAAAUGAGACGUCAAAACUGCUUAAAUUCUCUGGGAAGUCUGAUCUGUGUUUGGUAUGAUUCAACAAAAAAUUUAUGUAUUUGUUAUUUGUAGUGGCAGAGAAAAUUGGUCUUCAAAUGAACUUAGGAUUUAAGAUAAGUGAAUUGUACUGUACCCAGUAGCCAAUUAGACUUAUUUUUGUUGUGUUCUUCAACUCCCUGGAAAUUGGGUGUUUCAAGUUCCAAUUAUCCGUCAAAUAAUUGGGAUAGAUUUGAACGAGUGAAAUGAGAAUUUAAAACUGGGGAAAAUAUCCCUGUUGUGUACUCUAAAUUUAAUGAAUUUUCUAUAAGGAUAGCAAUUUAAGAACAAUAAAGCG
rnacentral:misc_RNA from 1 species